GGCUUGAUAGCUCAGUUGGUAGAGCACUGAACCGGUAUCGCAGAGGUCAUGGGUUCCGGCGAAUCCCGUUCAAGCCC
rnacentral:tRNA from 1 species